CUCAGGGGAGGCCGGGCGGACUUGGGGAGCCGCGCCCCUCCGAACUCUCGCUGGGCCUCCGUCUUACGACCUGCUUUGGGUUCACCGCAGAGGCCGGGGUGAAACCGCCUUAGGCUGCGAGGGAGUGGAAGAGCUCUGCCCCAUUGAAUUUAGAUUCUGAAAGUCCACAGAGGGGAAACUGAGGCCCGGAGGAGAGAAGGGACUCCCCCCUCCAUCACCUUGCUGGGCAGGAUAAGAGUCAAGAGAUUUUUGGGAUCCUGCACCCAAUAAAUAAGAAGAGGAGAUGAACCUUGAGUCUCAUUAGAUGACAGAUUUUUGAGAAGCUCAAAUGUAUGGGAAGGUUCCACUUCUUCACUUCAAGGGACUGCAGAUGGUGUGAAGCAGUGCAAUGCCCAUUAUGUCAGACCUCUGAGCCCAAGCUAAGCCAUCAUAUCCCCUGUGACCUGCACGUAUACAUCCAGAUGGCCUGAAGCAACUGAA